rnacentral:rRNA from 1 species
GACGAACGCUGGCGGCGUGCUUAACACAUGCAAGUCGAACGGAAAGGCCCUGCUUUUGUGGGGUGCUCGAGUGGCGAACGGGUGAGUAACACGUGAGUAACCUGCCCUUGACUUUGGGAUAACUUCAGGAAACUGGGGUAAUACCGGAUAGGAGGUCCUGCUGCAUGGGGGGGGGUGGGAAGUUUCGGCGGGUGGGGAUGGACUCGCGGCUUAUCAGCUUGUUGGUGGGGUAGUGGCUUGCCAAGGCUUUGACGGGUAGCCGGCCUGAGAGGGUGACCAGCCACAUUGGGACUGAGAUACGGCCCAGACUCCUACGGGAGGCAGCAGUGGGGAAUAUUGCACAAUGGGCGGAAGCCUGAUGCAGCAACGCCGCGUGCGGGAUGACGGCCUUCGGGUUGUAAACCGCUUUCGCCUGUGACGAAGCGUGAGUGACGGUAAUGGGUAAAGAAGCACCGGCUAACUACGUG